GCCGGGCGCGGUGGCGCGCGCCUGUAGUCCUAGCUACUCGGGAGGCUGAGGCAGGAGGAUCGCUUGAGUCCAGGAGUUCUGGGCUGCAGUGCGCUAUGCCGAUCGGGUGUCCGCACUAAGUUCGGCAUCAAUAUGGUGACCUCCCGGGAGCGGGGGACCACCAGGUUGCCUAAGGAGGGGUGAACCGGCCCAGGUCGGAAAAACUUGUUUUAGAAUGAAUUGAAUGCAGUUUCACUUUUUGAUUUUUAAUCUUCAAACUAGUGUUCUCUUUGGGGCUGAAUUGUGUCUCA
rnacentral:sRNA from 1 species